ensembl:lncRNA
CGCGUGUUACUGCUGCCGCUUUCUGAGAGAAGUGUUUUAUGUGACUUGUUAACAAGUUGUUUGUCAUCAGAAUGAGCAUUUUAACCGUUUAACAGAGAAGGUUUUCUUACCAAAGACAUUAAAUCAGCUCGUCACUUUAUUGCUGUGUGCCUGUGUGUUAAUUCUGAGGGGUAUAAUUCAGAAAAACUGUUUUUCAUGUGUUUCCAGUACUACACACGUACUAAGGAGGAUAACCAGAUAUUCAAUUGCCUAGAUGGCAGUGGAGUUUUCACAGAGAUGGACUCGUUCCUGGUGUCCAACCCCAUGCGUUCUGUAUGAGGACUCGCUCGAGCUGCUGCUGGAACUGGAGGAUGUGGAGAGACAGAUCCAUGACCUACUCAACAAGCAGGCCCGGCUGCUGGAGCGAAGAACCGCGCUGGAAACAUCUUGUGCUUCUGCCUACACAUCCAAGGUAAGCACGCAGUGUGGUAUUACCAUUCCCAGCCCCUCUACGCCGUGUGUUUCUCUGUGCAGGGACCGUGCACCCAAGACUUUUC